AUUGAACGCUGGCGGCAGGCUUAACACAUGCAAGUCGAGCGGGGAAGGGUAGCUUGCUACCUGACCUAGCGGCGGACGGGUGAGUAAUGCUUAGGAAUCUGCCUAUUAGUGGGGGACAACAUUCCGAAAGGAAUGCUAAUACCGCAUACGCCCUACGGGGGAAAGCAGGGGAUCUUCGGACCUUGCGCUAAUAGAUGAGCCUAAGUCAGAUUAGCUAGUUGGUGGGGUAAAGGCCUACCAAGGCGACGAUCUGUAGCGGGUCUGAGAGGAUGAUCCGCCACACUGGGACUGAGACACGGCCCAGACUCCUACGGGAGGCAGCAGUGGGGAAUAUUGGACAAUGGGCGCAAGCCUGAUCCAGCCAUGCCGCGUGUGUGAAGAAGGCCUUUUGGUUGCAAAGCACUUUAAGCGAGGAGGAGGCUACUUGGAUUAAUACUCUAGGAUAGUGGACGUUACUCGCAGAAUAAGCACCGGCUAACUCUGUGCCAGCAGCCGCGGUAAUACAGAGGGUGCGAGCGUUAAUCGGAUUUACUGGGCGUAAAGCGUGCGUAGGCGGCUUUUUAAGUCGGAUGUGAAAUCCCUGAGCUUAACUUAGGAAUUGCAUUCGAUACUGGGAAGCUAGAGUAUGGGAGAGGAUGGUAGAAUUCCAGGUGUAGCGGUGAAAUGCGUAGAGAUCUGGAGGAAUACCGAUGGCGAAAGCGGCCAUCUGGCCUAAUACUGACGCUGAGGUACGAAGCAUGGGGAGCAAACAAGAUUAAUACCUUGUAGUUCAAGGCGAAUUCCACAUGGAUGUCAGCGAUCGACCCCGCCGCCUCCAGGGGGGGCCCGGCCCGGUUUGUUUCCUCUCCCCCCGAAUAAUAAAAA
rnacentral:rRNA from 1 species